AAAAGAUUCUGGAAUGGUGCCAAUGUUUGGUGAUUACUCAAGCAGACAUGUUCUUGGCUACAGAAGUGUUUUAAAAAGAAAACACUCCCAGAAGACUGUCAUAAAGCCAGAGUAUUCUCGAUACCCUCCUAAGCUCUGCAUGUUGUGCCCAAGAUUGUGAAUCCGAGAAACCACCAAGGAGCCGACACCGAUGCCGAGCUUGGGUCCAAGUAUACCCGACACAGCGGAGCAGGGACUUGGACCCCGAACAGCACUGUGCCUACUGAUCUGGACAUUAGGCAAGGAGAAAGGCUGGUGAGAGCAGCCCCUCGGAAGAAUGCUACAGAUUCCCACUGUCCUUACCCAAAG